UACGUAGGGUGCAAGCGUUGUCCGGAAUUAUUGGGCGUAAAGAGCUCGUAGGCGGUCUGUCACGUCUGCUGUGAAAACUCGGGGCUUAACCCCGGGCCUGCAGUGGGUACGGGCAGACUAGAGUGCGGUAGGGGAGACUGGAAUUCCUGGUGUAGCGGUGAAAUGCGCAGAUAUCGGGAGGAACACCUGUGGCGAAGGCGGCUUUCUGGGCCCUACCUGACGCUGAGACGCGAAAGCGUGGGGAGCGAACCGG
rnacentral:rRNA from 1 species